rnacentral:rRNA from 1 species
UACGAAGGGGGCUAGCGUUGUUCGGAAUUACUGGGCGUAAAGCGCGCGCAGGCGGCCUUUCAAGUCAGGGGUGAAAGCCCGGAGCUCAACUCCGGAAUUGCCUUUGAAACUGUCAGGCUCGAGUACGGGAGAGGUGAGUGGAAUUCCCAGUGUAGAGGUGAAAUUCGUAGAUAUUGGGAAGAACACCGGUGGCGAAGGCGGCUCACUGGCUCGUAACUGACGCUCAUGCACGACAGCGUGGGGAUCAAACAGG